UACGUAGGGUGCAAGCGUUAAUCGGAAUUACUGGGCGUAAAGGGCGCGUAGGCGGCCUUGUAAGUCCUGUGUGAAAUCCCCCGGCUCAACUGGGGAACUGCACAGGAGACUGCUUGGCUUGAGUUCGGGAGAGGGAAGCGGAAUUCCGGGUGUAGCGGUGAAAUGCGUAGAUAUCCGGAGGAACACCGGUGGCGAAGGCGGCUUCCUGGACCGACACUGACGCUGAGGCGCGAAAGCCAGGGAGCAAACGGG
rnacentral:rRNA from 1 species